UGGUAUCUACACCAACAAUUACAAAGUUCAGUACUAGUGAAUCUAACUUUUAUUUAGUUAGUUAUUUAUGUUGGAUUACUAGGAUAAUUUAGGUUGAUUUAAGGACGGGUUUUAUGAUGCGAUAGCUAGUAGAAAUAACAGUGUUUGUUUAAUUAUAUCCUGGAAAGGGUGAUGUUCAGCACAUGAAGCCCUACAGAUGCCGCCGAUUCAACAAUGCUGAUUAUGAUGGGCGGUCAAUUUAACCUUUGCCUUAUUAGGUCCUCCACAGUCGCCCCAUCAGUCCCUGGCAGUCUGGUCCCUGGAGCAGCUGGCCCUGGCAAAAGUUAUUCCUUCACUGUUGACCCCUGACUGACUGGCCCUCGGCACACAAAUCCCUGGAUCACCUGCCCCUGGAUCACCUGCCCCUGGAUCACCUGCCCCUGGAUCACCUGCCCCUGGAUCACCUGCCCCUGGAUCACCUGCCCCUGGAUCACCUGCCCCUGGAUCACCUGCCCCUGGCAAUGUAACCUCUUGAUUGCUCUCUCCGUCUCCUGUGAUGUCCUUUUCAACGCUCUUGAAAUCCACCUCAAUUUCUCCCUCAAUCUCUGUAAUAAUUACAAGGUAAUGUUGCUGUUAUAUGUAUUUUGCCUUUGCAUUUGCAACUACUGUCAUCUCCAAUGUAAUAAAAUGAAUUAAAGCAAAACAUUUCUGUAAUGUGAAUUAAAUCAUCUGCCACAAUCAGAACCCAAUACAAUUUAUGAAUGGAUCUACCGGCAAUUGUUAAUUGGGUAGAAAUGUGUCGAUUAUCUACAUUGUGUGCAAAUCCUCAGAGAAUCCCUGCCUUCUGGUUGUUUUUUAAACUGAAUGUACAAAUAUGAAUUAUGUCAUCUCAUUAGGAGUGUAGUCUAUCCUUGAAUUACAUGAAAUGGGGAAUAUUGUUAGCUGCAUGGAUCAUACCGAAGUUUAAUUUGGUGCAAUAUGUGUGGUCCGUUGCACUUGGUUCCGGAGGCACCCUCACAGAAGGGGGUUUCCUCCUCUUCGGUUUAGGGUGAUGGAUGAAAACUGUUGGGCCUGCAUCGGGCCUCAACUUCAACAUCCUAUCUACUUUUGUGGCUUUGAAUCUGUCAUUUUCAAAGUGUACCUGUAGGUAGGCUUGUAAGAUCAGUUUCCAUUGCACUUCAAAUAUCAUUGGAAAGUCAUAAUUCUCUACACUUAGAAUUAUUAUGCCCUUUGAAAUGCUAGCAAGUGAUCUGAACAUUACGUUACAUCGUUUUUGACUUGCUGACUGUCAAUAAGUUUUGACGGCUGACCAUUGCCAUCCAUUUCUCCCUGCGCUCUUGGUCCUUGGGGAAGCCGUACAUGUGAUAACCCUUCUCGGACAGAUUGGGGCAUCCAAAUGCUGCACAGCCAACCAUGGUAUGACCAUUUAUCUAUAAAAUGUUAGUUGUAACCAAUGAACCAUGACACCAUUGAAGAUCACAGAGCGGGUAACAACUGUUCCUCAACCACUUAUGCCCCGACUUUUGAGAAUAGGUUAGAGGUCAGAGUUCAUGACCAAACGAGGAUCCUCCCUCCUAAACCCAUUUUGAAUUUGCUCAGGGCUAUUCUAAGUAUUGUAACGGCAUAAAGUAUAGUAUAUUUGCAACGUUAUAUGUUAAUGGUUUGCCCUAAGUAUAUAGUGUUCCCUGCUGUGUCCAUUGUUGAAUCUGUUCACACAAUCGCAAUCACUUGUUCUUGUCACACUAAUUGUUUAAUAAAAAAAAUUACAAUUUCAUUCA